GAGGACAUAGCUCAGUGGUAGAGCAAAUGCUUGCAACGCAUUAGGUCACUAGUUCGACCCUGGUUGUUCUCU
rnacentral:tRNA from 1 species